GAUGAACGCUGGCGGCGUGCCUAAUACAUGCAAGUCGAGCGAAGAGACGAGGAGCUUGUUCCGCUGACGUGAGCGGCGGACGGGUGAGUAACACGUGGAUAACCUACCUAUAAGACGGGGAUAACUUCGGGAAACGGGAGCUAAUACCGGAUAAUAUAUUGAACCACAAGGUUCAAGAGUGAAAGACGGUUUUGCUGUCCCCUAUAGAUGUAUCCCGUCCGCAUUAGUUAGUGGGUAAGGUAACGGCUUACCAAGGGAACGAUGCGUAGCCGCCCUGAGAGGGUGUUCGGCCACACUGGACCUGGGCCACGCUCCAGACUCCUACGGGAGGCAGCAGUAGGGAAUCUUCCGCAAGGGGCGAAGGCCUGACGGAGCACCGCCGCGUGAGGGAUGAAGGUCUUCGGAUCGUAAAACUCUUUUAUUAGGGAAAACCAAAUGUGUAAGUAACUAUGCACGUAUUGACGGUACCUAAUCAGAAAGCCACGGCUAACUACGUG
rnacentral:rRNA from 1 species